rnacentral:rRNA from 1 species
UACGUAGGGCGCAAGCGUUGUCCGGAAUUAUUGGGCGUAAAGAGCUCGUAGGCGGCUUGUCACGUCGAUUGUGAAAGCCCGAGGCUUAACCUCGGGUCUGCAGUCGAUACGGGCUAGCUAGAGUGUGGUAGGGGGAGAUCGGAAUUCCUGGUGUAGCGGUGAAAUGCGCAGAUAUCGGGAGGAACACCAAUGGCGAAGGCAGCUCGCUGGGACGGUACGUGACGCUGAGACGCGAAAGCGUGGGGAGCAAACAGGG